rnacentral:rRNA from 1 species
CAUGCAAGUCGAACGGCAGCACGGGGGUAACCCUGGUGGCGAGUGGCGAACGGGUGAGUAAUACAUCGGAACGUGUCCUGUAGUGGGGGAUAGCCCGGCGAAAGCCGGAUUAAUACCGCAUACGAUCUACGGAAGAAAGCGGGGGAUCCUUCGGGACCUCGCGCUAUAGGGGCGGCCGAUGGCAGAUUAGCUAGUUGGUGGGGUAAAGGCCUACCAAGGCGACGAUCUGUAGCUGGUCUGAGAGGACGACCAGCCACACUGGGACUGAGACACGGCCCAGACUCCUACGGGAGGCAGCAGUGGGGAAUUUUGGACAAUGGGGGAAACCCUGAUCCAGCAAUGCCGCGUGUGUGAAGAAGGCCUUCGGGUUGUAAAGCACUUUUGUCCGGAAAGAAAACUUCUGCCCUAAUACGGUGGGAGGAUGACGGUACCGGAAGAAUAAGCACCGGCUAACUACGUGCCAGCAGCCGCGGUAAUACGUAGGGUGCGAGCGUUAAUCGGAAUUACUGGGCGU